rnacentral:tRNA from 1 species
GGGAAGAUGGCUCAGUGGUAGAGCGCUUGCCUUGCAUGCCUGAGGCCCUGGGUU